rnacentral:rRNA from 1 species
GGGGAAUAUUGCACAAUGGGGGAAACCCUGAUGCAGCGACGCCGCGUGGAGGAAGAAGGUCUUCGGAUUGUAAACUCCUGUUGUUGGGGAAGAUAAUGACGGUACCCAACAAGGAAGUGACGGCUAACUACGUGCCAGCAGCCGCGGUAAAACGUAGGUCACAAGCGUUGUCCGGAAUUACUGGGUGUAAAGGGAGCGCAGGCGGGAAGACAAGUUGGAAGUGAAAUCUAUGGGCUCAACCCAUAAACUGCUUUCAAAACUGUUUUUCUUGAGUAGUGCAGAGGUAGGCGGAAUUCCCGGUGUAGCGGUGGAAUGCGUAGAUAUCGGGAGGAACACCAGUGGCGAAGGCGGCCUACUGGGCACCAACUGACGCUGAGGCUCGAAAGUGUGGGUAGCAAACAGGAUUAGAUACCCUGGUAGUCCACACCGUAAACGAUGAUUACUAGGUGUUGGAGGAUUGACCCCUUCAGUGCCGCAGUUAACACAAUAAGUAAUCCACCUGGGGAGUACGACCGCAAGGUUGAAACUCAAAGGAAUUGACGGGGGCCCGCACAAGCAGUGGAGUAUGUGGUUUAAUUCGACGCAACGCGAAGAACCUUACCAAGUCUUGACAUCCCUUGACAGGCAUAGAAAUAUGUUUUCUCUUCGGAGCAAGGAGACAGGUGGUGCAUGGUUGUCGUCAGCUCGUGUCGUGAGAUGUUGGGUUAAGUCCCGCAACGAGCGCAACCCUUAUGGUCAGUUACUACGCAAGAGGACUCUGGCCAGACUGCCGUUGACAAAACGGAGGAAGGUGGGGAUAACGUCAAAUCAUCAUGCCCUUUAUGACUUGGGCUACACACGUACUACAAUGGCGUUAAACAAAGAGAAGCAAGACCGCGAGGUGGAGCAAAACUCAGAAACAACGUCCCAGUUCGGACUGCAGGCUGCAACUCGCCUGCACGAAGUCGGAAUUGCUAGUAAUCGUGGAUCAGCAUGCCACGGUGAAUACGUUCCCG